GUUACAAACUUAUAAAAAGUGUAUUGCAAGACAGGACACCAUUUUCUUCUGCCAAGUUCCCCUAACUGUAACUGCCAUUUUUGAAGGUUUCCUGCUUGAAUCACUACGUGAUGAAAUUCACAUUGAUGAAGUGCAUGCGCUUGACUGAGCUACGUGCCCCAGCUCGAAGCGGAGUAAAUAUGCUUUUCUUUAAAUGCAGGAAAAAAAUGCUUUAUUUAUACGUUAUCUAGAACUAGAGCUGUCGGAGGAGCUGGCAUCGUGGCCGGAAAGGGAAUGCAACUGAAUCCAAGAUUUUUCGAAAUAAAAAGCUUGAAAUUCGCAAUUAGAAACACGCACAAUUCCUGAUUGGAGAUGUUUCCUAAGCGACUGAGAGCGGCUCUGGGAUGCAGCGGUUUAUGAAGUCGCCUCGCGCAUUCCUGGAAGGUGGGGCGACAAUUGAUGCACCUUUGGGCCAAUAAGGACUCGGAUCAUGGGGGCGUGCAUGAUUGACGCGGGUUCUCUCCAAUUGUCUACCGUAACAGGCGGUGGGCGGCUUAAUCGACCAAACGGUUUUCAGCAUCGGGGGGUAGUACCGACCAAUCGGAUACAGUGGGAAGGCGGUACCUUAAAACGACUGGCACCUCAAUCGACCAAUUGGCUGCCGAGCAUCGCACCGAUGUGGAAAAUGCGCAAUCUUCGCUAGAGAAAAUUUAUUUUUUUGAGAAUGUCAAAAUAUUAGCACGGACAAAGGACAAAUCCGCUUGCCAAUUGGAGAAUUAAAAUUAAAUAAAACUUCAGUUUAAUCCGAUCUUAAAACAUAAGAAGCGCAAUGGAACUCGUGUCUUGGCUUUCAGUAAGCCAAUUGAAAAAUCUGCUGAUGUGACAUCAUUUUUCCGCUAUGGUUAGUUUGAAAAAAAAAUCUUCGAAAUGUUCUGUUUAGGAUUUUAAACACUCCGUAAGCAGUUUGUAUGAAAAUAUAGAGACAUGGUCCACAUAGACACGUUUAAAUAUUUUAAAGGUGUUUUGCCACAAGUUUUUUUUAAACUGUCGACGUCUAAAGCCCCUUCCCUUGAGCAAAUAUAUUCACAAAAUGGCUGUUCAUCAUGUGAUUUCGUAUCCCCUUUGACUUCCCCCAAUGGCAAAAAUGAUUAACAACUGCUGUUUGUCUGAGAAAUAUCACAUAAGCAAAAAAGUAAUUCAAGAUUACCGUUCUUUUACCGCAGCCAAACGUGAAACAAGGCCUGCAACAUAAUUUUAAUGUAAAGUGUUAAAGCUAAACAUGGCACAUAGAGAAUGAUAAUCUGGCAGGCAAUGAAUACUCAGUUUAGAUGUGGUAUCAUUUCAAUAAUAGCAAGCUUCUCGUGCUGCUUUUGCAAUCGUAUGGAUUUUUUUCACCUCUUACCCUGAAAAAAAUUAAUAAAACUACCUAAACAGAGAAUGCUGGAGAAACUCAACAAAUCUGGCAGCUUUUACGAAGAUAAAUAGAACUAAUGUUUCGGGUCUGGAAUGACGCUUCUUUGUUUCCGAUUUCCAACAUCUGCCGUUUUUUUGCUUUUAUUUGAGUAGAAUUACACAUCUUACUACCAGUUUAAUACAAUUCUGCAACAAGUAUGGAAGGAAUAAAGAGCCACAGAUAUAUGUUUAAUGACAAACUUUACAUUAGAUGGCACAAGUAGCAUCAAUGAAAGUUACGAAGGAGCAUGACCUGAAUGAGUGCACAUUUUUUAAAAAAAACUGCAACAAGCAGAAUUCAGUGGUGAAAUAUGAGGUCAUCAAUUACAGACCGAAGGAUGCUUAAUGCCACAAUGUAUCUCUCCCUUCAGAAAUAAAGUCUACCUUUAUGUAGCACUAGCCACUUGGAGUUUCAGCCUCCUGA